GCCGAAGGAGGUGAACGGAGGCGGCGUUGUGAGAGGAGGCCGAGGGCUGGACGUUGGCGGAGGAGAUGGCCGGCCGGUGGAGGGGAGCCGGCGGUAGGGUGCACGUGAUGGAGGCGUGGGUCGGUGGCUGGGGCUGGCAAGGGGAGAGCACAGGGGCUCGGUGGGGGCGAAGGGAGCAGCGAGCGCUGGCGCGCUGGGAGCGACGAGGGGAUGGGGUGUGAGCGAGUGAGGCUGGGAACGAGGAGAUUUUUUCCCUCGUGGUCUCUGGUGGGUGUGGAGGCGGUUGAGAGGGAGA
rnacentral:lncRNA from 1 species